rnacentral:rRNA from 1 species
UACGUAGGGUGCAAGCGUUAAUCGGAAUUACUGGGCGUAAAGCGUGCGCAGGCGGUUUUUGUAAGUCUGACGUGAAAUCCCCGGGCUCAACCUGGGAAUUGCGUUGGAGACUGCAAGGCUAGAAUCUGGCAGAGGGGGGUAGAAUUCCACGUGUAGCAGUGAAAUGCGUAGAGAUGCGGAGGAACACCGAUGGCGAAGGCAGCCCCCUGGGCUAACACUGACGCUCAGGCACGAAA